UACAGAGACUGCAAGCGUUAUUCGGAUUCACUGGGCGUAAAGGGUGCGCAGGCGGCCAAGUGUGUCAGGUGUGAAAUCCCGAGGCUUAACCUCGGAACUGCGCCUGAAACUACUUGGCUAGAGUACUGGAGAGGGUAACGGAAUUCACGGUGUAGCAGUGAAAUGCGUAGAUAUCGGGAGGAACAUCUGUGGCGAAGGCGACACCCUGGACCAGCACUGACACUGAGGCACGAAAGCGUGGGGAGCAAACAGG
rnacentral:rRNA from 1 species